UAAGGAAUAUUGCUCAAUGGGAGAAAUCCUGAAGCAGCAACGCCGCGUGGAGGAUGAAGGGUCUAUGACUUGUAAACUCCUGUAAAGAAGGAAAAAAUUCCCAUUUGAUGGGAGAUGAUGGUACUUCUGGAGUAAGCCCCGGCUAACUACGUGCCAGCAGCCGCGGUAAUACGUAGGGGGCAAGCGUUGUCCGGAUUUACUGGGUGUAAAGGGUGCUCAGGCGGAUUUGUAAGUCAGAGGUGAAAUCUUACAGCUUAACUGUGAAACUGCCUCUGAUACUGCAAGCCUAGAGUAUGGAAGAGAGUGAUGGAAUAUCUGGUGUAGCAGUCAAAUGCGUAGAUAUCAGAUAGAACACCAAUGGCGAAGGCAGUCACUUGGUCCAUUACUGACGCUAAAGCACGAAAGCGUGGGUAGCAAACA
rnacentral:rRNA from 1 species